rnacentral:rRNA from 1 species
UAUACAGGACAGACCUGACUGUGUAGCCAUUAAUUUUUUUUGAUAUAUAUAUUAUUUGUAUGUGAAUGCGAUUUAUUAUUAGUGUGGGUGUAUUUAAUGAUUUUUUACACCUUUAAUUUGAGUCCUCUUUUUAUAAAAUUAUGGAAACACUAAUCCUAACACCUUCAGAGUAGGGGGAAACUCACCCCCCAAAAUUUACAGCAU